GAUGAACGCUGGCGGCGUGCCUAAUACAUGCAAGUCGAGCGAACAGACGAGGAGCUUGCUCCUCUGACGUUAGCGGCGGACGGGUGAGUAACACGUGGAUAAACUACCUAUAAGACUGGGAUAAAUUCGGGAAACCGGAGCUAAUACCGGAUAAUAUAUUGAACCGCAUGGUUCAAUAGUGAAAGACGGUUUUGCUGUCACUUAUAGAUGGAUCCGCGCCGCAUUAGCUAGUUGGUAAGGUAACGGCUUACCAAGGCAACGAUGCGUAGCCGACCUGAGAGGGUGAUCGGCCACACUGGAACUGAGACACGGUCCAGACUCCUACGGGAGGCAGCAGUAGGGAAUCUUCCGCAAUGGGCGAAAGCCUGACGGAGCAACGCCGCGUGAGUGAUGAAGGUCUUCGGAUCGUAAAACUCUGUUAUUAGGGAAGAACAAAUGUGUAAGUAACUAUGCACGUCUUGACGGUACCUAAUCAGAAAGCCACGGCUAACUACGUG
rnacentral:rRNA from 1 species